CUGGUAACCAAUCACAGCCCCGCGCUAGUCCAUCAACCCCUCACUCCUCCCGUGGACCAAUCGGAGCGCGCGGUGCUGUCGCCAUAGGGGGUGGCGGUCUCCAUGAGGUUGCAGUCUUCACGAUGAGUCCCAAGCACGUCGACUGGCUCCUGGCAUCGUUGCUGUUGGUCACCGUCUGCCUAUCGUGGGUGUUUGUGAUCUACGCUGGGCAAGUCGCCGCCCGGAAACAGCUACAAAGUUACCUGCAACAACCCUGACGCCUCAACACGAGUUGCCUGCAACUUGAGUUGCCUGCAACUCAAGUUGCCUGCAACAACUCAAACCCUGACGCCUCAACACGAGUCGCCUGCAACUCAAGUUGCCUGCAACCCGAGUCGCCUGCAACUCAAGUCGCCUGCAACUCAAGAACCGGUCUCCAAAUUCAGUGUCUCGUCAGCAACAAGUUGAAUAAAUGUUGGCAACCUCA